CCUCCGUCUCGUAAUGUAAGACG
rnacentral:miRNA from 1 species